rnacentral:misc_RNA from 1 species
GAUGAAGAACGUAUCAAAAUGCGAUAAGUAAUGUGAAUUGCAGAAUUCAGUGAAUCAUCGAAUCUUUGAACGCACAUUGCGCCCGCCAGUAUUCUGGCGGGCAUGCCUGUUCGAGCGUCAUUUCAACCCUCAAGCUCAGCUUGGUGUUGGGACUCGCGGUAACCCGCGUUCCCCAAAUCGAUUGGCGGUCACGUCGAGCUUCCAUAGCGUAGUAAUCAUACACCUCGUUACUGGUAAUCGUCGCGGCCACGCCGUAAAACCCCAACUUCUGAAUGUUGACCUCGGAUCAGGUAGGAAUACCCGCUGAACUUAAGCAUAUCAAUAAGCGGAGGA